CAGCCGCCACGGUAAUACGUAGGUGGCAAGCGUUGUCCGGAAUUAUUGGGCGUAAAGGGCUCGCAGGCGGUUUCUUAAGUCUGAUGUGAAAGCCCCCGGCUCAACCGGGGAGGGUCAUUGGAAACUGGGAAACUUGAGUGCAGAAGAGGAGUGUGGAAUUCCACGUGUAGCGGUGAAAUGCGUAGAGAUGUGGAGGAACACCAGUGGCGAAGGCGACUCUCUGGUCUGUAACUGACGCUGAGGAGCGAAAGCGUGGGGAGCGAACAGGAUUAGAUACCCGUGUAGUCCCUGUCUCUUAUAC
rnacentral:rRNA from 1 species